AAUGGGGGAAACCCUGAUCCAGCAAUGCCGCGUGUGUGAAGAAGGCCUUCGGGUUGUAAAGCACUUUCAGUGGGGAAGAAAUUCUCAAGGCUAAUACCCUUUUGAGCGUUGACGUUACCCACAGAAGAAGCACUGGCUAACUCUGUGCCAGCAGCCGCGGUAAUACAGAGAGUGCAAGCGUUAAUCGGAAUCACUGGGCGUAAAGCGCGCGUAGGUGGAUAUUUAAGUCGGAUGUGAAAGCCCUAGGCUUAACCUGGGAAUUACAUCCGAUACUAGGUAUCUCGAGUAUGAUAGAGGGAAGUGGAAUUUCCGGUGUAGCGGUGAAAUGCGUAGAUAUCGGAAAGAACAUCAGUGGCGAAGGCGGCUUCCUGGAGCAAUACUGACACUGAGGCGCGAAAGCGUGGGGAGCAAACAGGAUUAGAGACCCUGGU
rnacentral:rRNA from 1 species